rnacentral:lncRNA from 1 species
GUCAGGAAGUUUGGUGCAUUUGCAGAUAUCAUCAUUGUGCAAAAUAGGGUGUGCAGGAGACGGCAGGUGGAUCCUCAGCCAGAGAAAGCAUCAGCUGAGUUCCUCUGACAUGAAAUCCCGGUCCACUUUAUCUGAAGGCAGACCCGUUUCUUUCCCUCAGGAACUUCCCUCUUUAGAGCCAGAAGUCAUGGUCUGAUGAGGUUCUUGGGCCAUCAGAGGCUGAAAAUGAUACUAACUCCCCGUCAUGUCCUAUACAGAACCAAGCAUGAGCAAACGCGGUGGAUACAGACCAUUGUGUUAAAGCACUGGAAGCAGCCAAGACGUUGGAUACCAUGUGUCAGAUCCUCAAAAAUUAUCCAGAUUGUACAGUGCACAGUGAUGCACUAGAAUGUCUGAGGGAAAAAUCAGACAGAGAAAACUCUGAGAAACUUGGGGGAGAUCAUGAACCUUUGGGCAACCCAAGUUAUCGUGGAAGACGUCUGUGUAUAUUUCUGAUUAACAAUGAAUGGUUCAUCGCCACCAAAGAAAAGCUCCAAUUCUACAUUUCCUGGAAGUCCAAACAUGUCGCAAGGUAAAAGCAACUAAUAUAUUGAAUGUACCUCAAUUAAAUGUAUCACCAUUAAAACAAAAGGAAAGAGAUUCAUUUUCAAGGAAUUCCUCAUGUGGUUAUAGAGGCUGGAAGGGUGGGCUGGCCGGUGUUGACCUAGGAAGAGGUGAUGCUGAAGUUCACGUCUGAAGACUGUCAGGCUGGAGAAGUCCUUCUUGUUUCAUGACAGGGAGACACAGCUUUCAUUCUGUUCAGAUCUUCAGCUGAUUGGAUAAGGGCCACCCAUGCUAUGGAGUGC